UGGGCUAUAGCCAAGGGGAAAGGCACAAGAUUUUGAUUCUUGUAUUCAUUGGUUCAAAUCCAAUUAGCCCAG
rnacentral:tRNA from 1 species